UUAUGAGAAUUUUAAUUAUGC
rnacentral:piRNA from 1 species